AAAUUGAAGAGUUUGAUCAUGGCUCAGAUUGAACGCUGGCGGCAGGCCUAACACAUGCAAGUCGAGCGGAAACGAGUUAUCAGAACCUUCGGGGGACGAUAACGGCGUCGAGCGGCGGACGGGUGAGUAAUGCCUAGGAAAUUGCCCUGAUGUGGGGGAUAACCAUUGGAAACGAUGGCUAAUACCGCAUGAUGCCUACGGGCCAAAGAGGGGGACCUUCGGGC
rnacentral:rRNA from 1 species